CAGAUUUGACCCGAAAACAACAGGAGGGUUAAUAUACACACGCUGUAUAUUAUCAAAGAUAAAUAUGGUUUAUGAAAUCAGCAUAGGCUCCUUAUGUGUUUAUAAAGAGUAAAACCAAACUAAUUUAGAACCACAUACAUUAUUUUAAUUGGCUAAUAACUAUAUAAAAUGACAAUACAGGAAUUUAUUUCCCCAAUUUAUUAAAAAAGUGAAGAAUUUAAAAACAGAACGUACCACAAAUGUCUUUAAGAACACAUCAUUAAAGAGCCUCUUACACAAUAAAAAAAAAAAUCAAAAACCCAAAUACACAGUAUAGUUCUUGCAUAUUCAUUGUUUAUAGAUAGACAUGAUGGCAGACGCCUGUAUGACAAGGAGCAGGGUCUUCACUGAGCGCAGACCCCACUGUGGGAUGGAGGCGGACACAAACAGAGUCAUGGGAUUAUCAAUAUUCAAUCAUUAACGCCCGUUCUGACAUCGCCUCUCGCGGGAAAGACGGCGCAAACAGAGCCACAGGGAUUGUGUUCAAAGACAACGUGAUCAUCGGGACAAGGCACCACUCUAUAAAUACAUUUGUCUAUACAUCUAGGUAUUUGUAUAUAGAAUGCAUGAGGGAAAGCAUCUGAGAGAGCGAGAAGUGCCUGUAGCAGUCGUCCACUGCAGUUUGAUCGUAAAACAUCUGCUCGAGAUGAUCUGUAUUACAGUAUCGCAUUGGUGAGCUUUAACAGCAGAGCGGGUUCACACUUUAGCGUGCACCCCUAGACCACCAUCUUUUUUUAAUCCAUUCAUGCAUAGACAAGUUACAGACAAGUCCUGUCUCUCUCACCGUCAUGGCCAAAUGCAUAGUCAUUGAUUACAAAAAGCUUGUUUGAAAAACAGUAACAAAACCUCCCCGACCCGUUUAAGUAAAUCAAGUGAAAGACACGACAACAUAUGUUAAAACUGUGCGGUAGGAAAAAGGUGAUCAUGCUAUCACAAGUGAGGGUGUGUAUGAAGCUAAUAAGCUUAUUAAACAAUAAGAAGGGGGCUAGUUUAUGCUUUUUCUAAAAUGUUCAUUCAAGCUAACAUCUAUGUACAUUUUACAAGAAGACAAGGCGGAGAUGGCAGUAACACAAAUGUGUAUAUUCAGCAUCUUGUGACGUUAAAGCGAGUAAUGGCCCCUACAGUUUGCAUUGUGGUUUAGCGGGGUCAAAAGGUUUGUUGUUGUGGCAACAUAUCAGGAAGUGGUCAUGAACACAGAGCUGGUGAGAGUGUGUUUUCCUUCCUCCAAACCUUCCUUUGUGUCCUCAUCUGGCUUCACUUUCUCAUUGCAUUGUCCUGUUCCUCUGCUGCUGGUCCCAAGUGUUCAAUAACCAGGUGAGAAUCAUGUAUUUUAUGUUUUGUUGCUGACCAAAGUCAUAGAAGUGUAAAAUAAAAGCCACAGAGUGGUCAUAAGGCUAGCACAGUCUAACAUUCUUCAUCUUAGUAUCUACUUUAAAUAAUAGAGAAUGUAUUUUAACUGACAACCGAUGCUUUAUUCUUCUAUAUGUUUUUGGAAAUUCUUUGCUUAACUUGAGCGAUCACUCCUUGGCAUUAAGUGACUUACUGCUGCACAAUGAAGCGUGUCAUGAAGAGAAUUACAGCUGGUAUGAGGAUCUAACGUUGCUUUGUUUUACGUCUUUGGUCCUGUGUGCACGGCCCACAGUUAUGCCACUACUCAGAACAUAUAUCAUCAUAAUAAUAAUUACAAUCGACUGCUGAAUAAAAUACAGAGACAGAGCUCGGGUUCAAUAGAAAUAUUGCCACCAGGAAAGAUACUCUUUUGCUAAUAACAUGUGAAUCUAACGUCGUGUAAUACAAUUUAUAACCCCGUGGCAGGUCUGUGUCUUGGGUCAGGAGCUGUACAUCUAUCAGGGGGAAAUCUGCAGAAUUGAUGCUGCCACCAAUUAC